rnacentral:tRNA from 1 species
GUAGUCGUGGCCGAGUGGUUAAGGCGAUGUACUAGCAAUCCAUUGGGCUCUGCCCGCGCUGGUUUGAAUCCUGCCGACUACG